rnacentral:piRNA from 1 species
UNCCUCUCACACUAGCUGUUUCUCUGUCAGA